UAAGGUAUAGCUCAGUGGUAGAGUGCAUGCUUAGCAUGCACUGAGGUCCUGGGUUCAAUCCCCAGUACCUCCA
rnacentral:tRNA from 1 species